CAGGACUGAAAUGUAGCAACACCCAGCAGAAACCGCGGGUUCUAUG
rnacentral:SRP_RNA from 1 species